CCCUUAGAUGUUCUGGGCCGCACGCGCGCUACACUGAUGCAUUCAACGAGUCUAAAACCUGCUCUGAUAGGGGUGGGUAAUCUUUUGAAUGUGCAUCGUGAUUGGGAUAGAUGAUUGCAAUUUUUCAUCUUCAACGAGGAAUGCCUAGUAAACGCAAGUCAUCAGCUUGCAUUGAUUACGUCCCUGUCCUUUGUACACACCGCCCGUCGCUCCUACCGAUUGAAUGAUCCGAUGAAUAUCGUGGAUUGAGGAUGCAAGCAGGUUCGUCUGUCUUCAUCUUCGAGAAGUGAAGUAAAUCUUAUCAUUUAGAGGAAGGAGAAGUCGUAACA
rnacentral:rRNA from 1 species